rnacentral:rRNA from 1 species
GGGAUGGACAUACCUCUGGUGUACCAGUUGUCGUGCGAACGGCAUAGCUGGGUAGCUAUGUAUGGACGGGAUAAGUGCUGAAAGCAUCUAAGCAUGAAGCCCCCCUCAAGAUGAGAUUUCCCAACUUCGGUUAUAAGAUCCCUCAGAGAUGAUGAGGUUAAUAGGUUCGAGGUGGAAGCGUGGUGACACGUGGAGUUGACGAAUACUAAUCGAUCGAAGACUUAAUCAA